rnacentral:rRNA from 1 species
AUACGUAGGGGGCGAGCGUUGUCCGGAAUGAUUGGGCGUAAAGGGCGCGUAGGCGGCCCGGUAAGUCUGGAGUGAAAGUCCUGUUUUUAAGAUGGGAAUUGCUUUGGAUACUGUCGGGCUUGAGCGCAGGAGAGGUAAGUGGAAUUCCCAGUGUAGCGGUGAAAUGCGUAGAGAUUGGGAGGAACACCAGUGGCGAAGGCGACUUACUGGACUGUAACUGACGCUGAGGCGCGAAAGUGUGGGGAGCAAACAGGAUUAGAUACCCUGGCAGUCCACACUGUAAACGAUGAAUGCUAGGUGUAGGGGGUAUCGACCCCUUCUGUGCCGCAGUCAACACAAUAAGCAUUCCGCCUGGGGAGUACGGCCGCAAGGUUGAAACUCAAAGGAAUUGACGGG